UACGAAGGGGGCUAGCGUUGUUCGGAAUUACUGGGCGUAAAGCGUGCGCAGGCGGCUUCUCAAGUCAGGGGUGAAAGCCCAGAGCUCAACUCUGGAAUUGCCUUUGAGACUGAGUGGCUUGAGUACGAGAGAGGUGAGUGGAAUUCCCAGUGUAGAGGUGAAAUUCGUAGAUAUUGGGAAGAACACCGGUGGCGAAGGCGGCUCACUGGCUCGUAAUUGACGCUCAUGCACGACAGCGUGGGGAUCAAACAGG
rnacentral:rRNA from 1 species